AGCCUGAAGAGUCAUGAUUUUAGGUAACCCCUGCCUAGCGACAUUAAGUUUAGCGGCCGCAGUACCUUGACUGUGCUAAGGUAGCGUAAUAAUUUGUCCUUUAAUUAAGGUCUUGAAUGAACGGGUCUACGAGAAAUGUACUGUCUCCUGUAUUAAAAUCUAUUGAAGUUACUUAAAAGGUGAAAAUUCCUUUAGCUAAAGAAAAAAGACGAGAAGACCCUCAGAAUUUUGAUAAAAACUAUUGACCUUUUAUAAUAGUUUAGUUUUCGUUGGGGCGACGAGGUAGCAGAUUAAAUAAACCUGCCUUAUUAUAUUUGAUGUACCAAAUUUUAUUACACAUAACUAAAAUUACCUAAGGGAUAACAGCAUAAUACUUAAUAGUGUUUGUGACCUCGAUGUUGGACUAGGGACUAAUUGGUUAACCACCAGGUUAGAUGAUUCUGUUCGAAUUCUUUACCCU
rnacentral:rRNA from 1 species